CCUACGAGAGACAGCAGUGGGGAAUAUUGCGCAAUGGGCGAAAGCCUGACGCAGCGACGCCGCGUGAGGGAUGAAGGUCUUCGGAUCGUAAACCUCUGUCAGCAGGGAAGAACGGUCACUGUGCUAAUCAGCAGUGAAUUGACGGUACCUGCAAAGGAAGCACCGGCUAACUCCGUGCCAGCAGCCGCGGUAAUACGGAGGGUGCGAGCGUUAAUCGGAAUUACUGGGCGUAAAGCGCUCGUAGGCGGUAUGUCAAGUCAAGGGUGAAAUCCCCGCGCUCAACGUGGGAACUGCCUUUGAAACUGGCAAACUGGAGUGGGUGAGAGGAUAGUGGAAGUGCAGGUGUAGGAGGGAAAUCCGUAGAUAUCUGGAGGAACAUCAGUGGCGAAGGCGACUAUCUGGCACAUAACUGACGCUGAGGAGCGAAAGCGUGGGUAGCAAACAGGAUUAGAUACCCCAGUAGUC
rnacentral:rRNA from 1 species